rnacentral:rRNA from 1 species
GACGGAGGGGGCAAGCGUUGUCCGGACUCACUGGGCGUAAAGAGCGCGCAGGCGGUCGUUCAAGUCGAGUGUGAAAGCCCCCGGCUCAACUGGGGAGGGUCAUUCGAUACUGAUCGACUCGAAGGCAGGAGAGGGAAGUGGAAUUCCCGGUGUAGUGGUGAAAUGCGUAGAUAUCUGGAGGAAUACCGGUGGCGAAGGCGGUCUGCUGGGCAGUUUUUGACACUGAGGCGCGACAGCGUGGGGGAGCAAACAGG